rnacentral:rRNA from 1 species
GACGAACGCUGGCGGCGUGCUUAACACAUGCAAGUCGAACGGAAAGGCCCUGCUUUUGUGGGGUGCUCGAGUGGCGAACGGGUGAGUAACACGUGAGUAACCUGCCCUUGACUUUGGGAUAACUUCAGGUAACUGGGGCUAAUACCGGAUAGGAGCUCCUGCUGCAUGGUGGGGGUUGGAAAGUUUCGGCGGUUGGGGAUGGACUCGCGGCUUAUCAGCUUGUUGGUGGGGUAGUGGCUUACCAAGGCUUUGACGGGUAGCCGGCCUGAGAGGGUGACCGGCCACACUGGGACUGAGGUACGGCCCAGACUGCUACGGGUGGCAGCAGUGGGGAAUAUUGAACAAUGGACGGAAGCCUGAUGCAGCAACGCCGCGUGCGGGAUGACGGCCUUCGGGUUGUAAACCGCUUUCGCCUGUGACGAAGCGUGAGUGACGGUACUGGGUAAAGAAGCAACGGCUAACUACGUG